ensembl:lncRNA
GGCUGAUGGCCUUGGAGGAAGGAGAUGCUGAUAACUUAAAACGCCGUGUAGUGGAACUACUGCUUCAGAACCCCCAAGGCAUCAGGUUUGAGAAUUUUUCUGGGGCCUUCCAUCAGCUGCAUGGUUACUACCCUCGUAUCGCUCUUCAGGGAUAUCAUACGCUCAAGGAAUUAGUGGCUGAUAUGAAGAAUGCUGUGGUUGUGGAAAGGCGUUCACGGCAACAAGUUUUGAAGAUUGCAAAGGGCUUCCGUCUUGACUGUUGGUUGGAAGGAGAAAAAGGGAAUGGAUUGGAAACAUCAGAAAGAGAAGUGGAGAACCUGCGAGAUGAAGACCAAGUUGGAGGAGAAACAACUCUUGCAGACAUCUUGGAUUUGCUCAUCAGCCUCCUAACGGAGUACAAAUCGGGACUGAGAAUUAGCUAUAUCCAGAAAUUCAUGCUAUCCAAGCAUGCAGUGGACAUGGAAAAGUUCAGCAUUGCCCAAGGCUACAAGAACAUCAUGGAAUUCUUGGGACAUGAACUGCCAGAGCUAAUAGUCAGAUAUCAAGAGAAAACCUGUGAAUAUGUUGUACAGAUUCCUGAAGGUCUCUUUGCCUCAGAUCUGUCUGUGGAGUCAGAUUUCUCUACAUGGAGCUCACCAUCCUCGACCCAGGAUCUAACAAGAACAAACUCUGCUAGCUCUUUGUAUUACACAUGCAAAAGUGACCCAAACCAUGUGAAGCAACCUACAAAAUAUGUCCCAGAUCUGCCGGCUGCUUCAAAGCUAAUUCGGGAUGUGCUCAAGAGUUUUCCUUGUGGUAUCAAAGUAUGUUCGCUAAAAAGGGUCCUCAGAAAGAGAUGCGGAUUUGACUUGGAGGCAUUCCGCACACAGCACGGAUACCAAGAUGUGUUGUCCUGCUUGAAGGAUAUCCCUGACCUGUUUCUGCUAAACACGAAUAGGCAUCGGAAUUGUCUCGUCCGCCUUCAGCCAUGUCCCUUUGGUUCAGAUCUGUCUCUGGACUCAGAUUUCUCUGGAUAUAGCUCUCACUCCGAACCCGACGGUCUAACAAGAACGAAUUCCGUCCUGUCUCUGGAAAGUACCUCCAGCUGUACUCCUUCUCUUGAUACUAAUUUCUCUGUUGGUCACACAAAUGUUGAGCCUAAGAAACCGAGGUCAACAAAUUCAGCUGUCUCUUUACCUUCUACCAGUGUGAGUGUGCCAAACCAUGUGAAGGAGCCAACAAACCAGGCCCUAGCUGUCUCUCUACCUUCUACCAGUGUGAGUGUGCCGAACCAUGCGAAGGAACCAACAAACCAGGCCCUAGCAUUACCAGAAGUUUUGUCUUUAGUCAGUGACCUACUCACCAAGUACAAAGACGGUCUGAGAAUUAAGAAAAUUCAAGAUUUCCUGAUGGCCACAAACAGCAUUGACCUUGAGAAAUUCAGCAUCAUGCAAGGCUACAAAGGCUCAGUGGAAUUUUUGCAGCGUCAAAUGCCUUAUUUAUCCUACAUGAAACGAAACCAAAGACUCAACAGUGUUUUUAAACUGGGUAUAAAGGCAAAAAAGAAGCAGCCUCAAAAACAUCCCCAAACUGGAACAACCAAAAAGAAUCCUUCUGUUGCUUCUGUUCCCCCUUUGAUGAAUGCCCCUGUGCUGCAGUCAACAAAACCACUGGAGCCAGUUUGUUCCGAAUCAGGCUUUGGAAGUGUCUCUAAGUCUUCCGUUACAGCCCAUGAUUUUACUGCAAGCAAAUCUCAGUCCCAGAGCCUGCCUUUACAAGCUCCUUCCACACCACACCAAGUCAAGAAUACGAUCCAUUCCAGCAUGCGUAUCCCACUUCCAUCUUUUCAUGAGGUCCAUAAUGCAUCACCAGCCAAGCCUAACAAUUCAGGCCAGUCUAUUUCCAAUGGUCCACACCAGAAGCCAAAUGUAUGCCUGUGUGGACCACCACCCAUGGAAGAGGUAUCUUGUCAGUUGGAUAGGCAACCGUCUAACAAAUCCAAAAUGACUAAAGAUGAACCUUCACAGGACCAGGAUGAUUUGAAGCAGCAAGUAGCUCACAUCCUGGCCUUGCAUCCAGAAGGCAUGUCACUUUUCCAGUUCCGUGCAGCCUAUAGUGCCACCUAUCAGCAGCACUUCCCAAUGGACAACACUGCUUCUGUCAAACAACGUUUGCAGGAAAUGCCGGAUGUUGUUAGUAUGAAAAGCUAUGGAGUCCAAACAAGGCUGCUAUCUGUAUCCCGUGCAAUGCCAUCUUUAAAAUCUGGUCAGCCUGUCUCUGCCACAAUGGAAAAAGCUUCAGUUGUCCCUGGUCUCUCACAGCCCAGAACAGUGUCACUGACUCAAGAGAGUUUUGAAGAACUUGGAGGAGAUGACAGCAAGGAGGAUUACCCAGUCCUUGAUUCUUUGCUCCACCAAGUAGUUAAACCAAGAGCUCAUGUGCAAGAGAAUGUGAAGAAGAAGCCCAAGUCAAUGGGAGCUCUUGUCAUUCCUCAGCCCCCUGUAGUUUGUCAUACAUAUGCUCAAGUCACAGCUUCGCAUAAACCUUUGAAACCAAAUAGUCUUCAUAUGAAGCCCACACAUCUGAAUAGCCCUUAUAUUUCUGCCAGUAGUGCCUCAGUGCCUUCAUAUCCAAAUGAUCCUUGUAUUUCUGCCAGUAGUGCCUCAGUGUCUUCGCAUCCAAAUGAUCCUUUUAUUUCUGCCAGUAGUGCCUCGGUGCCUUCACAUCCAAAUGAUCCUUGUAUUUCUGCCAACAGUGCCUCGGUGCCUUCACAUCCAAAUGAUCCUUGUAUUUCUGCCAACAGUGCCUCAGUGCCUUCACAUCCAAAUGAUUCUCGUAUUUCUGCCAACAGUGCCAACAGUGCCUCAGUGCCUUCACAUCCAAAUGAUCCUUAUAUUUCUGCCAGUAGUACCUCAGUGCCUUCAUAUCCAAAUGAUCCUUGGAUUUCUGCCAACAGUGCUUCGGUGCCUUCCACCUCUCAUCCUGCCUCUUACAAUUCUGGAACAUGGGCGCAGCCGGUGAGCUAUCCAUUUGUGCCGUUGGUUUCCCAGAUGCCAGAGAUUUUCCCUGUCAUGCCUGCCUAUAUCAAAGUUUCUAGAUAUCCUUCUGGGAUCCAGUUUAAGAACCCUACAGUUCAGAGCUCUCCUUUUGCUCAGCCACCCCAUGUGCUCCCAAUUAGAUAUGAUCCAACAAUGCAUCUGACCCAAAGCAUAGAACAAUGGAGCAACAUUCGUACUCUCCCACAAGUGGAUGCCUAUUCUCCAGUGAAGACAUCAUCCAACAUUCUGCAGCUUGCCCAAAGCCCUACAUCCUCAACAAGGAGAUAUCCCAUAUCUCCAUCUUCUAGAAACAUCUCCCAGACUGUCCAGCAUUUAGAAUCUUCUAAACAUACCCAGCAGGUUGGUCUGCAGCAUGGUUCAGUUGUGGUAACAAUGAAUAAAAGCUUUGUAGUAACAUCUCUGGACACACAGCCUAAGCCUCCAGCAUCUGCUUAUCAGAGACAAUAUGUUGAUUGGAAUCCUCUGGCAUCUACUACAAACACAGCACAGUUCAUUUCACUUGGUGCUUGCUCCACUAGUCAGCCCUUUCAGCCCUUGGAAAUUUCCUCUAAUAGCAAAAAGAAUCCUAAUGCUCUGCUUUUUGAACCUCCAGUUUUCGUGGAUCAGCCACAACCUGUUAGUGCAAGUGCCACCAUAACCACCUCAUCGUAUUCACCACCUUCACUUGUAGAUGCUAAUGUAAGCCCAUAUUCCAACCACUUAACUCCCUCCAGUAAUUGCAAUGAUUCUGCUAGUCAACCUUUAAAGCCUUGGGCUUCCAUUCAACAACAACAUACUAGCCUGGAUGUCUCUGUAAUCAAUUCCAGCAGAAAACAAGCAGGUUCAUUGCCUUGCCCUCAAGACCUCACUAUCAGACCAUCCCGCCAACUCUCCAUAACACCUUUAAGUGUUUGUACAGAUAAUGAGCCUCCUAUCCAAGCUAAGCCUGUGGUUUCUUUUUCUAAACAUGCUGACGAUCAUCAUGUUUCUUUGCCAAUAAACCAGACAUCUUAUUCUCCCCCAAAUAGCCCUCUAAAAAAACUGGAUAGUUGUGUUAUCUUGUAA